rnacentral:lncRNA from 1 species
CGUCGGGCGUGGUGGAGGUGGAUCGAAACGAUAUGAACUUGCCACUCUCAUAAAAUUCACAGCACAUCUCAUAAAAAAUAAAUCGAGAGCUUGAGUAGGAUCGGGAAGUGGAGGAAGUUGUGCGGGAUCAACAUGAACUUCUUCGUCGGAUGAAGAAUUUGAGGAAGAAUUAUUGUUGGAAGAAUUGGUGGAUGAAGACAUUUUUUUUAAGAGUUGAAGAGAAUUGGUGGAUGUAGUGUUUGUGAUUGAAGGGG